rnacentral:tRNA from 1 species
CAAGAAAAGGAAAAGGUCAGGAUAGCUCAGUUGGUAGAGCAGAGGACUGAAAAUCCUCGUGUCACCAGUUCA